rnacentral:rRNA from 1 species
UACGGAGGGUGCGAGCGUUGUCCGGAAUCAUUGGGCGUAAAGGGCGCGUAGGUGGCCCGGUCAGUUCGUGGUGAAAGCGCGGGGCUCAACCCUGCGUCGGCCAUGAAUACUGCCGCGGCUGGAGCACUGUAGAGGCAGGCGGAAUUCCGGGUGUAGCGGUGGAAUGCGUAGAGAUCCGGAAGAACACCGGUGGCGAAGGCGGCCUGCUGGGCAGUAGCUGACACUGAGGCGCGACAGCGUGGGGAGCAAACAGGG